GGGCCUAUUCAGUGCAAUUCCACCAUCUGUUUUGGGUUCAACAUAAUCCUGUUGACCUUCUUGGCUUUUACCUCUAGUCACUGUCCUCUCCACCUGUGGAGACAUCUCGGGUGAGUGCUCCACGUGAAUGUCAAUCCUCCAGAUGUACCUACAAAAGGCAAAACAGUAUAGGAGAUUAGCUGUCCACCACUGUCCGAUUGGAUCUCCUAUUGCUCUUGCUAUUUUUUCAUACCUCAUU
rnacentral:lncRNA from 1 species